rnacentral:rRNA from 1 species
GGUAAUACGUAGGUCCCGAGCGUUGUCCGGAUUUAUUGGGCGUAAAGCGAGCGCAGGCGGUUUGAUAAGUCUGAAGUUAAAGGCUGUGGCUCAACCAUAGUUCGCUUUGGAAACUGUCAAACUUGAGUGCAGAAGGGGAGAGUGGAAUUCCAUGUGUAGCGGUGAAAUGCGUAGAUAUAUGGAGGAACACCGGUGGCGAAAGCGGCUCUCGGGUCUGUAACUGACGCUGAGGCUCGAAAGCGUGGGGAGCGAACAGGAUUAGAUACCCUGGUAGUCCACGCCGUAAACGAUGAGUGCUAGGUGUUGGCAGUGCCGCAGCUAGCGCAUUAAGCACUCCGCCUGGGGAGUACGACCGCAAGGUUGAAACUCAAAGGAAUUGACGGGGGCCCGCACAAGCGGUGGAGCAUGUGGUUUAAUUCGAAGCAACGCGAAGAACCUUACCAGGUCUUGACAUCCAGGUGGUGCAUGGUUGUCGUCAGCUCGUGUCGUGAGAUGUUGGGUUAAGUCCCGCAACGAGCGCAACCCC